rnacentral:rRNA from 1 species
UACAGAGGUCUCAAGCGUUGUUCGGAUUCAUUGGGCGUAAAGGGCGCGUAGGCGGCCGAUCAAGUCGGAGGUGAAAUCCCUCGGCUCAACUGAGGAAUUGCCUUCGAUACUGUUCGGCUUGAGUCCUGGAGAGGGUAGCGGAAUUCCCGGUGUAGCGGUGAAAUGCGUAGAGACCGGGAAGAACACCAGUGGCGAAGGCGGCUACCUGGACAGGUACUGACGCUGAAGCGCGAAAGCUAGGGGAGCAAACAGG